rnacentral:rRNA from 1 species
AUGAAAUUGAUCUGCCCGUGCAGAAGCGGACAUAAAUACAUAAGACGAGAAGACCCUAUGGAGCUUUAGACACCAGGCAGAUCACGUCAAGCAACCUUGAAUUAACAAGUAAAAACGCAAUGACCCCUAGCCCAUAUGUCUUUGGUUGGGGCGACCGCGGGGGAAAAUUAAGCCCCCAUGUGGACUGGGGGCACUGCCCCCACAGCCGAGAGCUACGGCUCUAAGCACCAGAAUAUCUGACCAAAAAUGAUCCGGCAAACGCCGAUCAACGGACCGAGUUACCCUAGGGAUAA